UGUUUAGGAAAGUAUGUUGAACGUCUUCGUGGUGCUGACAAGAACAUGGAGAUAUUCGCAUGUCCUACAUGUCGCUCAGAGUUUACUCUCAAAUCAAACCAAGAUGUUGCUGAACUGCCAAGUAAUUAUUUCAUUAAGAAUAUGCUGGAAAUUAUGGCGAUUCAACAAAAAGCUAAAACAUCUACUGCAUGCUCACGCUGCCAAGAUCCUGCCAUUAAUCACUGCGCAUCAUGUGAAAUAUUUAUGUGUAAGAAAUGUUCAGAGUCGCAUGAUAGCUGGACUGCCAACAAAAGUCAUAAAGUGUUAUCGGUACAGGAAGUGAGCAAUCCCGAGCGUGAAGUCGAAAUGAGAAGCAAGCUUUACUGUAUGAAACACAAAGACAAAGUACUUGAAAUAUAUUGUGAAACAUGCAAGGAACUUUGUUGUAUGCUUUGCCUGUUGCUGAAUCACCAGAAACAAAACCACUCCUGUGUGGCCGUUUGUGAGAUCGCACAGAGGCAAAGAGAAACAUUGCAAUCAAGCUGCUCAACAUUUGAUGAGAAAUUAGCUGAAGGUAAGGAAGCGUUAAACAACAUUUGUGAAGUGAUGAAGUCUCUUGAAAAAAAUGCUAAAACGGCUAAAGAUCAAAUCAAAGAACAAAAGGAAAAUAUCUUGAAGAUUGUGGCAGAAAAACUUGACGAGAGAGUAAAGAUAAUGAAUGAGGAAGUGGACAAGGUUUAUGGUGAAUUACACAAUGAACUGAGCAAACAACAUGAUGAAAUGAAAGAUUAUCUUGAUAAAGUCCAAGCUUCAGUUUGUUUGCCAAAAAAUCUCCUGAAGAGAGGAAGCAUUGAAGAAAUGCUCUCAUCACAAAAAUUGAUUGAUGAGAAAAUUGAGAAGUUGAGCAAUCAACAACCGGAGAAGUUAGCCGCAGUGAAUGAUGGUAGUAUUCAGUACGUACCAAACGACAUUGGUAAUAUCAAUGUUGAUGAAAUUGUUGAUAAGUUGGG
rnacentral:lncRNA from 1 species